rnacentral:rRNA from 1 species
CCUACGGGCGGCAGCAGUGGGGAAUAUUGCACAAUGGGGGAAACCCUGAUGCAGCGACGCCGCGUGAGUGAAGAAGUAUUUCGGUAUGUAAAGCUCUAUCAGCAGGGAAGAAGAAAGACGGUACCUGACUAAUAAGCCCCGGCUAACUACGUGCCAGCAGCCGCGGUAAUACGGAGGGGGCAAGCGUUAUCCGGAUUUACUGGGUGUAAAGGGAGCGUAUACGGGUGUGCAAGUCUGAGGUGAAAGCCCAGGGCUUAAACCUGGGAGUGCUGUGGAAACUGUUGAGCUAGAGUGCUGGAGAGGUAAGUGGAAGUCCUAGUGUAGCGGUGAAAUGCGUAGAUAUUAGGAGGAACACCAGUGGCGAAGGCGGCUUACUGGCCAGUAACUGACGUUGAGGCUCGAAAGCGUGGGGAGCAAACAGGAUUAGAUACCCGGGUAGUC